GCUUAAUCUGAAUCAUAGUAGGAUUUAAGCGUUUUCCCGAAGUAUAGUAAGGAAGCGAGAUGUCCCACAGAGGCCCUUUUCCGCGGCGUCUGAUUUCGGGAUAUAGUAAUGCGGAAAUAAGGCUUUGGCAGCUUCGUCCAAGGCACGAAAACCAAAGAAGCUAAGAUGCCGGUUGCGCGUUUGCCCGCUGCCGACAUCCGACAACCAAAGGCAAACUAAGCAUGUAGAAGGCUUAUGUAUUGCCUGUUUGGACGAGGGUUCGAAUCCCUCCAACUCCACUC
rnacentral:tmRNA from 1 species